AUUGAACGCUGGCGGCAGGCCUAACACAUGCAAGUCGAACGAGUGGCGGACGGGUGAGUAAUGCUUGGGAAUCUAGCUGAUGGAGGGGGAUAACUACGGGAAACUGUAGCUAAUACCGCAUACCAUCGGAUGAGCCCAGGUGGGAUUAGGUAGUUGGUGGGGUAACGGCUCACCAAGGCGACGAUCACUAGCUGGUCUGAGAGGAUGACCAGACACCCUGGAACUGAGACACGGUCCAGACUCCUACGGGAGGCAGCAGUGGGGAAUAUUGCGCAAUGGGGGCAAGCCUGACGCAGCCAUGCCGCGUGAAUGAAGAAGGCCUUCGGGUUGUAAAGUUCUUUCGGUAGCGAGGCGUUAACGACAGAAGAAGCACCGGCUAACUCCGUGCCAGCAGCCGCGGUAAUUC
rnacentral:rRNA from 1 species